GCUUGCUAGGGCUAUAUGAACCCAUUCUGCACAUUUAACUUUUCUCUGUCUCGCUUUUCCCUGGCAGUGAUCCCAGAGAGUGUGUUUCAUUUCUUGUUCAUUUUCUGGUAUCCUGACCCAGGAUAUUUGCCUGUCUAUUGUCAAGGUAUGUGUUUGUGAGGUUAAUUCACUAUAGAUACAAUGUACAUGGGAAAUUGCUCUGUCAUUCUGGCCAAUUUCAUUGUGCAACUUUAUCAUACAGCAGUUUUUUUUUUUGCUCUUUUUUGUGUGUAACCAAAAGUUCCUAUUAAUUUUAGUCUUAUUUAUCUCUCCACAGCUUUUAGCAGAUAAAAAGCAGCUUGAAGAACACGCAAUAUAGGAGAGUGUGAGAACAAGCCAAGGUCUAUGAUUACAGAGUCACGUAGAUGGUAAAAUAAGCCAGAGUUAAGGAGCACGGAAUGUCUCUGUAUUAAAAAAGUCUAAGGACCAGUAAUACGCAACAAUCCACAUUCUAUAUUUCUACCUUAGUUCUGCACGUUGGACUUAUUAGUAUCCUGACAAAGCUAAAAAUUGUGGCUGAAGAGGUAAAUAUGACUAAAAUGAU